CAGUCGAGCGGAACGAGUUAUCUGAACCUUCGGGGGACGAUAACGGCGUCGAGCGGCGGACGGGUGAGUAAUGCCUAGGAAAUUGCCCUGGUGUGGGGGAUAACCAUUGGAAACGAUGGCUAAUACCGCAUAAUACCUACGGGUCAAAGAGGGGGACCUUCGGGCCUCUCGCGUCAGGAUAUGCCUAGGUGGGAUUAGCUAGUUGGUGAGGUAAUGGCUCACCAAGGCGACGAUCCCUAGCUGGUCUGAGAGGAUGAUCAGCCACACUGGAACUGAGACACGGUCCAGACUCCUACGGGAGGCAGCAGUGGGGAAUAUUGCACAAUGGGCGCAAGCCUGAUGCAGCCAUGCCGCGUGUGUGAAGAAGGCCUUCGGGUUGUAAAGCACUUUCAGUCGUGAGGAAGGUAGUGUAGUUAAUAGCUGCAUUAUUUGACGUUAGCGACAGAAGAAGCACCGGCUAACUCCGUGCCAGCAGC
rnacentral:rRNA from 1 species